UUUUUAUGUGCGCUGAAUUCUUUGAAAAAAAGAAGCGGGGGAACCAGUUCUUUGGGGUGAAUCUCUUUUUGAAGAGUAGGGUCAUCUUCUUUCGAUCCGAAUCCGUCAGCUAACCUCGUAAGCGUGGAAAGAGGAAGA
rnacentral:sRNA from 1 species